GGCCGGGAAUGCCGAGCGGCUCGCUGGGCUCAUAACCCAGAGGUCGCAGGUUCAAAUCCUGUCCCCGCUA
rnacentral:tRNA from 1 species